UGCUUGAAACUUCUGGGCCAUUGGGCUCCCAGCCCAGUGCACCUCUUCCACGUUACGGGCUAUUUUGGGGGCAUUAACAGCGAGCAAAAACCUCAAGGUGACGUUUGGAGGGCAUUUUGUUCUUCUCCUGCCAUGAAAAGCAGCAGGUUUUUUUUUUUUUCCUAGGUUGGAGGUACCUGGCUGUGGUACAUGGCUGCUUUAUUUCUAUUUAUUUAUUUAUUUCAGUACUCCAGAGAACUGAGCUGCCCUGCUGAUAAUGCACUUUGAAGAUUUCCUCAACUUUCUGGAGUAUUUCUAAGUGAUUGCACCAAGCACCCAGCUCCGUGAAGGCUGUCUGGCACUGGUGUAAAACAGACACGAGCUAUCCCUUUGAGAAGCGUUCCUGAGUAGAUCCUCAGCUUCAGUGUAAUCCAGCCCUCCGAGCUCCUUAAAGGCUUACAGCAGCAGAGGAAGGUUACAGGAGGUGCCUGCUUUGUAUUUGUCGAGCUGGUUUUAACAGACCACAGCCAGACCCUUCUCCUGACCUCCAGUUCAGCUGGAGGACCUCGGCUGAUAACCCAACAAAAUGAAGAGUUGCUGCCAGGUGAGGCAUUUUCCUGUUUUUGCUCAUGCUAUUAUCAGAAAAAGUGUGGCCAGCAGGGCCAGGGAAGUGAUUGCCCCCUCUGUACUUGGUGUGGGUGAAACCGUACCUUGUGUUUGGUUCUGGGCCCCUCACUACGAGGAUACUGAGGUCAGAGCAUUAAUUCAGAGAAGGGCAACAAAGCUGGUGAAGGAGCUAGUGAAAAAGACAAAGGGGGGCACAGAAUCACAUAAAUAGUUGAAGAGGGUGCAAAGAGGACAGAGCCAGGUUCUUUUCAGUCAUGCCCAGUGACUGGAUGAGAAGCAACAGGCACAAACAAACAAUUUCCCCCUGGAGAACUGGAGGCAGACCACAGGUCAGAGCACCUGUCUGUGGUGACAAACAGGCUGCAGGAAGGCGUGCAAGUUCAUCAUCACUGGUGAGGAUCAGGCUGGACUAACAGGACAGCAGGAGACAUGGCCCACUCAGCCAGAGGGGAGCAGGAUGAGU